GUUACUUUGGUAUAAUGAUAGAAUGCUUUCAUGUUUACAGAAGAUGUGAGUUCAAGUCUCACAGGUAGCU
rnacentral:tRNA from 1 species